rnacentral:rRNA from 1 species
UGGGGAAUUUUGGACAAUGGGGGCAACCCUGAUCCAGCAAUGCCGCGUGUGUGAAGAAGGCCUUCGGGUUGUAAAGCACUUUUGUCCGGGAAGAAAUCCCCUGCCCUAAUACGGCGGGGGAUGACGGUACCGGAAGAAUAAGCACCGGCUAACUACGUGCCAGCAGCCGCGGUAAUACGUAGGGUGCGAGCGUUAAUCGGAAUUACUGGGCGUAAAGCGUGCGCAGGCGGUGAUGUAAGACCGAUGUGAAAUCCCCGGGCUCAACCUGGGAACUGCAUUGGUGACUGCAUUGCUCGAGUAUGGCAGAGGGGGGUGGAAUUCCACGUGUAGCAGUGAAAUGCGUAGAGAUGUGGAGGAACACCGAUGGCGAAGGCAGCCCCCUGGGCCAAUACUGACGCUCAUGCACGAAAGCGUGGGGAGCAAACAGGAUUAGAUACCCUGGUAGUCCACGCCCUAAACGAUGUCAACUGGUUGUCGGGCCUUCAUUGGCUUGGUAACGUAGCUAACGCGUGAAGUUGACCGCCUGGGGAGUACGUCGCAAGAUUAAAACUCAAAGGAAUUGACGGGGUCAUAGCUG